UAGGGAAUCUUCGGCAAUGGACGCACGUCUGACCGAGCAACGCCGCGUGAGUGAAGAAGGUUUUCGGAUCGUAAAACUCUGUUGUUAGAGAAGAACAAGGACGUUAGUAACUGAACGUCCCCUGACGGUAUCUAACCAGAAAGCCACGGCUAACUACGUGCCAGCAGCCGCGGUAAUACGUAGGUGGCAAGCGUUGUCCGGAUUUAUUGGGCGUAAAGCGAGCGCAGGCGGUUUCUUAAGUCGGAUGUGAAAGCCCCCGGCUCAACCGGGGAGGGUCAUUGGAAACUGGGAGACUUGAGUGCAGAAGAGGAGAGUGGAAUUCCAUGUGUAGCGGUGAAAUGCGUAGAUAUAUGGAGGAAAACCAGUGGCGAGGGCGGCUCGCUGGUCUGUAACUGACGCUGAGGCUCGAAAGCGUGGGGAGCAAACAGG
rnacentral:rRNA from 1 species